UACGAAGGGGGCUAGCGUUGCUCGGAAUCACUGGGCGUAAAGCGCACGUAGGCGGAUUGCUAAGUCAGGGGUGAAAUCCUGGAGCUCAACUCCAGAACUGCCCUUGAUACUGGCGGUCUCGAGUCCGGGAGAGGUGAGUGGAACUGCGAGUGUAGAGGUGAAAUUCGUAGAUAUUCGCAAGAACACCAGUGGCGAAGGCGGCAUCCUGGACCGGUAUUGACGCUGAGGCGCGAAAGCUAGGGGAGCAAACGGG
rnacentral:rRNA from 1 species